rnacentral:misc_RNA from 1 species
CAAGAAGCCGAAAGGCUACUUAAAACCAUCGCGAACUUAUCCAAGUUGCUUCGGCGGCGCGGCUCCCCUCACGGGGGACCGCAGCCCCCGCCUCUCAGGAGGUAAGGGGGCAGCCGCCGGAGGUACGAAACUCUGUAUUAUAGUGGUAUCUCUGAGUAUAAAAACAAAUAAGUUUA